rnacentral:rRNA from 1 species
AAUCAACGCUGGCGGCGUGCCUCAGACAUGCAAGUCGAACGCGAAAGGCUCCUUCGGGGGCGGACGUAGAGUGGCGGCACGGGUGGAGUAACAACGUAGGUAAGUUUAGUCCUUUCGGGUUGGGGGAAGUAACUACAGGGAAACGUUAGAGCUAAUACCGCAUAAUGCAGCGGCUCGACAUCGAGACAGUUGUUAAAGCGGGGGAGUCGCAAGACCUCGCGCCUGAAGAGAAGCCUGCGGCAGAUUAGCUAGUUGGUAGGGUAAUAGGCCUACCAACGGCGACGAUCUGUAACCGGCCUGAGAGGGCGGUCGGGUCACACUGACACUGACAUACGGGUCAGACU